rnacentral:tRNA from 1 species
UCAGUUUUGGCGCAUUACGUAGCGCAUCAGUCUCAAAAGCUGAAGGUCCCGAGUUUGAUCCUGGAAGGAGAG